rnacentral:rRNA from 1 species
UACGUAGGGUGCAAGCGUUGUCCGGAAUUAUUGGGCGUAAAGAGCUCGUAGGCGGUCUGUCGCGUCUGCUGUGAAAAUCCAGGGCUCAACCCUGGACCUGCAGUGGGUACGGGCAGACUAGAGUGCGGUAGGGGAGAUCGGAAUUCCUGGUGUAGCGGUGAAAUGCGCAGAUAUCGUAAGGAAGACCAGUGGCGAAGGCGAGUCUCUGGACAGUUACCGACGCUGAGGCACGAAGGUCAGGGGAGCAAACGGG